rnacentral:rRNA from 1 species
AUUGAACGCUGGCGGCAGGCCUAACACAUGCAAGUCGAGCGAGCGGCGGACGGGUGAGUAAUGUCUGGGAAACUGCCUGAUGGAGGGGGAUAACUACUGGAAACGGUAGCUAAUACCGCAUACCAUCUGAUGUGCCCAGAUGGGAUUAGCUAGUAGGUGGGGUAACGGCUCACCUAGGCGACGAUCCCUAGCUGGUCUGAGGGGAUGACCAGCCACACUGGAACUAGGAAACGGUCCGGACUCCUACGGGAGGAAGCAUUGGGGAAUAUUGGACAAUGGGCGCAAGCCUGAUGAAGCCAUGCCGCGUGUGUGAGGAGGGCCUUCGGGUUGUAAGGCACGUUCAGCGGGGAGGCGUUACCCGCAGAAGAAGCACCGGCUAACUCCGUGCCAUCAGCCGCGGUAAUUC